AUUGAACGCUGGCGGCAGGCCUAACACAUGCAAGUCGAACGGUAACAGGAAACAGCUUGCUGUUUCGCUGACGAGUGGCGGACGGGUGAGUAAUGUCUGGGAAACUGCCUGAUGGAGGGGGAUCACUACUGGAAACGGUAGCUAAUACCGCAUAACGUCGCAAGACCAAAGAGGGGGACCUUAGGGCCUCUUGCCAUCGGAUGUGCCCAGAUGGGAUUACGCUAGUAGGUGGGGUAACGGCUCACCUAGCCGACGAUCACUAGCUUGUCUGCGAGGAUGGCCAGCCACACAGGAACUGAGACACGUUCCAGACUCUUACGGGAGUCAGCAGUGGGGAAUAUUGCACAAUCGGCGCAAGCCGGAUGCAGCCAUGCCGCGUGUAUGAAGAAGGCCUUCGUGUUGUAAAGUACUUUCAGCGGGGAGGAAGGGAGUAAAGUUAAUACCUUUGCUCAUUGACGUUACCCGCAGAAGAAGCACCGGCUAACUCCGUGCCAGCCGCCGCGGUAA
rnacentral:rRNA from 1 species